UACGUAGGGUGCAAGCGUUAAUCGGAAUUACUGGGCGUAAAGCGUGCGCAGGCGGUUUUGUAAGUCUGACGUGAAAUCCCCCGGGCUCAACCUGGGAAUUGCGUUGGAGACUGCAAGGCUAGAAUCUGGCAGAGGGGGGUAGAAUUCCACGUGUAGCAGUGAAAUGCGUAGAUAUGUGGAGGAACACCGAUGGCGAAGGCAGCCCCCUGGGUCAAGAUUGACGCUCAUGCACGAA
rnacentral:rRNA from 1 species